UUACGGUCAUAUCCGGUUGAAACACCGGUUCUCGUCCAAUCACAGAAGUUAAGCAAUGGCGAGCCUCGUUAGUACCUAGAUGGGAGAUCGUCUGGAAAUACCAGAUGC